UGUCCAUCAACUCCUAUCCCUACCUCCUCGUGGUACUGGCGGGGGUACGAGUAACCUUACGGAAGAUCGGCUGGGAACUCUGGUCUAUGCUAACAGGGAAGG
rnacentral:ribozyme from 1 species